rnacentral:rRNA from 1 species
UACAGAGGUGGCGAUCGUUGUUCGGAUUUACUGGGCGUAAAGGGCGCGUAGGUGGUUCCGUGUGUUGGAUGUGAAAUCCCACGGCUCAACCGUGGAACUGCAUCCGAAACUACGGUACUAGAGUGCAGGAGAGGAGAGCGGAAUUCUUGGUGUAGCGGUGAAAUGCGUUGAUAUCAAGAAGAACACCGGUGGCGAAGGCGGCUCUCUGGAAUGCAACUGACACUGAGGCGCGAAAGCUGGGGGAGAAAACAGG